UUUUCCUAACAUUCAAUCGCUUAUCCCUUUUACUUUUACUUCAAAGUGAGAACACUUCAUUUCGUAACAACAAAAUAUCGAAAUUCAAAACGCAUAAACCUCGCUGCCAGCCGAUUGCAUUUUGGUCUAUCAGCAGUUUUUGGAGAGGGGCACAUGCUGGGAUUUUCAACUGCAGGAACUCCGUUCUCUACUAUAAGUGUCUAUGUGUCCCACUGUGCCCAAACGCCCGCCCAAUGCGCUCUGUUCUUUUCUAUUUUGGAUGCAAUGUGUGCAGUGUAGGUGCAUACACAGCGACAAACGAAGAAGAGUUUAAGGAAACAUAUUGGAUGCAAAUGAUUUCGGCAGUCUACCAAAGAGUCUGUUCGUUGCCAGAGAGUGCAGCUCUUCCGAAGCUUCUCUUUGUCAGGCUUCGGCUUUAAUCUCGUGUUUGAUCGAAGUCUUCGACGUCGUCUACUCCCCAGUCUUUAGCUUCAACCUAGCAAUUGGAACUUGCUCGGGGUUUUCGCCUUCAUCGACUCUUGGGCGUCUCCCCUAAGCUUCCACAAGGGCUUUGAAGCUAAACAUCUCGCCUCAGAUGAAGCCGGUUCCCGUCAGCUGGAUGCGGCAAUAACUCUGCAUUUUUUUUUGGUUUAGUCUCCAAUUUUGCGCGACUGGAGCUUGCACCAACAACGAGUCCGCUUCUUCUGCUUGUCAGGAGUUGUCGACUGGCUACAGACUUCGCCUGAAUUUUCUCAAGAAGUGCCGGCAAAACAUCAAAAGGCACCAAACUGCAAUCGUGAGGAGCGGCUCUGGGCGGGAGCACUGGGAGUUGGAGGAGCAUGGAUAACGGCGAACGGGAGGGGGGCAGGAGAAAUCCGGUGGAGCAAUCAUCUGGGCAAUUUGCAUUUUCAAUUUGCAACAACAAACAAGAAUCAUCGCCCAGGGAAAGCUUUUCGGUGGCGGGACUGGCGACGCGCUGAUUAAGGAUAUGGAAUGGCGAUGGCGAUG